rnacentral:sRNA from 1 species
UAGUAAUCAUGAAUUCUGAAGAAAUCCAUUUUGAUUUAUGCUUUUUGGCAAUUUCCAAGAGGAAUUUUACAAUUUGUUGUAAGAUAUGUGAAAUAUAACUCUGUGAGAGUGUGUGUGUGUGCACGUGUGUGAGUGGGUGUCGGGGGCGCUCCACACUAC